GGGUCCAGGCCUACAAACAUGCUCCUGUGGGGGGGGGGUUCAUGCCUACAACAAGCCCCUCCCUGUGUGUGAGUGGGGGGGGGGGUUCAUGGCUACAACAUGCACCUCCCUGUGUGUGAGUGGGGGGGGUUCAUGGCUACAACAUGCACCUACCUGUGAGUGGGGGGGUCCAUGGCUACAACAUGCACCUGUGGGGGGGUUCAUGGCUACAACAUGCACCUGUGGGGGGGUUCAUGGCUACAACAUGUACCUGUGGGGGGGGUUCAUGGCUACAACAUGCACCCGUGUGGGGGGGGUCCAUGGCUACAACAUGAACCUGUGGAGGGGGGUAAGGCUACAACAUGCACCUCUGUGUGUAGGGGGUGAUCCAUGUCCAUCUGAUGAUGGACGCGUUUAUUCAGAGAACAUCUGGGGUGGGGGGCAAGGCCUCCCAGAGCCCGGCCUGGAAGACAUCUGCUUAAAACUCGGAGAAGGCUUGUAGACCCCACUCCAGGGGCUGGCUUCUUCCAGGGUGGAGACUGGCUGGGCCACAGGCCAUGUGCCCGGGAUGGUGACAGGGCCCCGAGGCCAGGCAGGGCCAAGCUGGGAGGGAGCAGUGCCUGUCUCGGGGACCCUGCGGCCACGCUCUGCAGAGAAAGGGGGACCUCCGGGGGUCAGCGUUCCCCAGCUGCUUCCGAGGCUUCUAGAAUGUUCUUGGGAACGGGCUGUCGCUGGCUUUACUGGAAGCGCCUCAGCAGCCGCCCGCCAGCCUCCGCCACGUUCUUUGAGUCGCCCUCUGCGAAAAGAGGAGGCUCUGUUGGGGCAGGCGACCGCUCCUGCUUAGAUGGACGCUCGCCGGCCAUGGUCACGUCCACUCCAGUGGCAGCCUGGCCUGCUGACCGCCCUGUGCCUGACCCCAGAGCAGGCUGUUCAGCCCCUCCUCCACACGUGGCCCUGGUCCUGCACAGCCCGCAUCACUGCCUAGUGGGGGUCUCCCGCCUGCCGUCCUUGUCCUCAGUCCGAGCCAUCCUGUCUGUGUGUCUAAGGGGUCUCGGUGUCACCCAUGGCGGGACGUCACCGCGGGGUGUCGUGAGACAGCCAUGUGACUUUAGGAGCGCUUGGCUUUCCUGCUGGGUGUGAGCCCCGUAACGGGGCGGGGCCUGUCGCGGCCUCUGGCAGAGGGUACGGAGUCACGCUCGCUCAGUGUGUGCUGUGAGUCCAUGGCGAGGACAGGUGAGGACAGAUUGGGGGGGAGGGAAGGAGGAAGGAUGGGUGAGUGGGGGGGGUGUGUGGAUGGACAGAUGGGUCAGUGAAUGGAUGGGUGCCUGGGUGGGUGGAUGGAGAGGUUUCUGGGUGCCUGGUGGGUGGUAGGUGGAUGGGCAGGAGGGUGGAUGGGUGCAUGGAUCGGUGAACGGAUGGGCGGUGGAAAGAUGGUGAACGGAUGGGCGGUGGAAAGAUGGUGCCGGCCACGUUUCCCAGUUCCCUGGAUGACAGCAGGAGAUUAAGCGUGUCCGGCCGCUGGUGUGAGGCUGUGUGUACCGAGAGCCCCUCUGUGGCUCGGACCUCCCCCGCCCAGCAGCAGACCGCAGGGCUCUGUGAACUGCUCGCUCCCAGCGUCCACGCCGCGUGGCGUGUCUCGGUGCUGGGCCAGAACGGUUCUUCCUCCCCCAAGAAACGCGCCCUCCCCUCGUCAGCGCCCUCUGCAGGGCGAGGGGGCCACCUCCUCACCUGGAUACUCCUUGUAGGAUUUGUGGCGCAGGAAUCGCCCAUCUGAAAAACACGCGAGAGGGGAAAACUCUCAGGAGGGGGCAACACCAUGCUCCUCCUCCUGUGUGCCUGCUUUGGGAAAACACGGUUAUUUUAGGAAAAAUGUUAUUUCUGUUUAAUAUCUGUUUGUAUGCCUUUUAAACUUAUUCGUGAGAUACAGACACAGAGUGAGAGAGCCAACGCGUUUCCCUUCACAACAGCCAGGGCUGUGCCGGGGCCAGGAGCUGGAAACAGCCCAGGCCUCCCACACGGGCAGCAGGCACCCAGGUACUUGAGCGCUCACUGCUGUCUCCCAGGGGCUGCAUCGCAGAAAAGCGGACUCGGGAGCCAGAAGUGGGACUCGAACCCAGGCCCUGGCAUGUGGACACGGCGUCUUCACCAGGAGGCUGAACGCCUGCCCCCGGCUGCUAAUUUUAAGUGACAAGUGCACAUGCAUCUUACUGCCUCAGCUUUACCUCCAGCAGCGUAACCACCCAUGGCCAUGACCACGAGAAGGGAGAGCCCCCCGGAGAGACUCUGGGAUGUUUUCCAAGGGAGCCCUCCUCCCCUGGCUGAGUAUCAUUUAUUACCCCAGGUGAUCUCGUGGGGGUUUUAGCAAACGAACUUCCUGGGCUCUGAGCUUCGUGAAUUCCACUUGAUUCUUCCUGCCCAGCAUCCCGCCACGGCCCGGAAGGGCACAGACUCCCUCCCUUCCACAUCGGAGAGACCCCAACCCCAACAGAGAAAGGCACUGAUGCCCUUGAACCCACUCUCCAAAGAACCAGCUUUGCCACACGAGUCGGCGUCUGUUCCCCGCUCAGAGAAGAGCCAGAUCCUCGCGCAUCCUGUGCCAGCUGCCGGACAGCGACCCCCAGCAACCAUCGGCACCCCAGAGGCCUCUCCCGGGGAGCCCUGCACCUUAGGUGUGGGCACAGGGGCUGCACCUGGUUCUCACAGUCCCAGAGAUGCACCUGCGGGCUCCGGUGGCGUGGGGACAGGACGAGGGGAGACAGGGAGCAAAGCACGCACAGCAAGUUCGUGCAACUUUUCUUAAAUCUGAAAUUAUUUCAAAUAUGUAGAGAAAAAGCUAAUAAAAUGUAGGGGCUGGCAUUUAGCCUACUGGUU
ensembl:lncRNA